UACCCACUCGCGAAAAUUCAUGAAAUAUAAGAUCAAGAACAGGAAAUGCUUUUACAACUAAUUAGAGAAAAAAACUCUCCUAAAAGGUAUCCCAUGCCCAACGUGGAUGAAAUGGUUGGAAAACUGGGAAAAAGACAGUACUUUACCAUUAUAUAAUAUACUUGGCCAGAGAUUUUCACCAGAUAGAAAUGGAUCCGUAAUCCAUACACUAUGAAUUCGUCCGUAUGCUAUUGGGCUUAAAAACCGCGCCGGCUACAUUCCCAAGUUCUCGAUAAACUCAUUGCAAAUAGUUUUUGAAAAGUUGUACGAAGCAAAUUUAAAGUUGCAAUUAAAUAAAUGCGAGUUCCUGAAAAAGGAAACUACAUUCCUUCGUGCGUUCUCGUGUUUCUCGGAAUGACUGGUUACUACCGUAAAUUUAUUCCAAACUACGCCAAUGUUCAACAGCAAACGAACCAAUUUCACAACUUCCAAAUAUUGAGAAAAAAAACGUACUGACUAAAGACCCUAGCUUGGUCUUUGGCGGUCCUUUCCCAAAACAAUCACUCUAUAUCUUUUAUAAGUAGAACAUUAAACAACCAUUAAUUAAGUUACAGCAUUGCCAGCUGGGAAGAUAGUUCUAAAUAGCUGGAAACUUAUAUGCAGAAUUCAAAGAAAUAAUUAUCCAUGCCACGAAAAACUAAACUUUUGCACCCAGKCAUCCAAAAAAUUACCAAAUUAUUUAAAGAAAAUUAUUAUUUUCCAAAUAGCCAAUUAUUAAUUCAAAACGUUAUAAAUUAAUGCAAUGUGU